ACGUUAGCGGCGGACGGGUGAGUAACACGUGGGUAACCUACCUAUAAGACUGGGAUAACUUCGGGAAACCGGAGCUAAUACCGGAUAAUAUUUCGAACCGCAUGGUUCGAUAGUGAAAGANGGUUUUGCUAUCACUUAUAGAUGGACCUGCGCCGUAUUAGCUAGUUGGUAAGGUAACGGCUUACCAAGGCUACGAUACGUAGCCGACCUGAGAGGGUGAUCGGCCACACUGGAACUGAGACACGGUCCAGACUCCUACGGGAGGCAGCAGCC
rnacentral:rRNA from 1 species